rnacentral:rRNA from 1 species
UCUUGGUCAUUUAGAGGAAGUAAAAGUCGUAACAAGGUUUCCGUAGGUGAACCUGCGGAAGGAUCAUUAUUGAAAUUAUAGGUGAGGGUUGUAGCUGGCCUCUCGGGGCAUGUGCACGNCCGAGCCCUUAAUCNACACACACCUGUGAACCUAUUGUAAGGGCCCUUAAAAAAGGCCUUUACGUCUUAUCAUCAACCCAUCGUAUGUCUCAUAGAAUGUAAAUAUAUGUCCUCGCCUUAAAAAGCGUUGAUAAACUUAUACAACUUUCAACAACGGAUCUCUUGGCUCUCGCAUCGAUGAAGAACGCAGCGAAAUGCGAUAAGUAAUGUGAAUUGCAGAUUUUCAGUGAAUCAUCGAAUCUUUGAACGCACCUUGCGCUCCUUGGUAUUCCGAGGAGCAUGCCUGUUUGAGUGUCAUUAAAUUCUCAACUCNGAUCGAUUUGUUUCGACUUCGGAGCUUGGAUUUGGAGCGUGCUGGCGUCGGUCGGCUCCUCUUAAAUGCAUCAGCGGAAUCUAACGUUUCGGACGUCAGUGUGAUAAUCAUGUUGCGCUGUCUGUCUGAUCCGAAAGCCCGCUCACAAUGGUCUUCGGACAACUUCAUAUCAAAUUUGACCUCAAAUCAGGUAGGACUACCCGCUGAACUUAAGCAUAUCAAUAAGCGGAGGAA